ensembl:lncRNA
AAAAAAUCGAUCUUUAUUUCCUCACAAUCAAAUAAAAUGCUGUCCAUGCCCAGAGAGGCAGCAGUCGAUGCCUCCUCAGCCCCGGUGUCAUGGUGGUUGGCUGCUUGUUAUGACCAGCUGGUGCUUGUGUUACUGAGCUGCUGCGAGGUGCUUCUCCACUGUGCUAGGAACCAGUGAAUCAGCCUCUCCCUGGCUCAGAGUAGCUCAGGGGAUGCAGUCUUUUUAUCUGGGUCAGAUGAAGGUGGAGGAGAAUGAGCAUUUUGCAAGCCUCUAGGAAACUGAAAACCGCAGUAUAUAACCAUUGGGUAAACACUCCAUGUUUACUGCCCACUAUGCUGAAACAGUGGUCAAACCAGAAAAGAAGGACAUUUGAUAAGCUACAUAAGACACGGGCCUUGUAUCUUUCUCUUUCUCUCUUCCUUCAGACAUAUCAAUAAAUAUCUGUUUCUGUAUCAAGUUAUAGAGUAAAGGGCAACACGCAAUUAUUCUCAUGGACAGAUAGCGGCAUUUGGUUAAAUAAAAACGAUCAGACCGUGAAUAAUAAUAUGUGGCUGUUAAAAGGAUAAACUGUUUGCCUGGCAAAUACAUUACCUGUUUGUCUAAUGCUGGCCCUAAACAUAGAAUGUGGCCAAUAAUAAGUAAUCAUUCUAGUUAAAUUAUCAGUCACGCUGCCAUGUCUUAUUAGUAUGUAUCAUUAGUGUAGCUUUGUGACCUAAUUAAGGCUGUUCAAUUAGCCUCUGAAUUGGUACUAAGUAUGGGAACAGACAGAAUGUGACAAACUGUUUAACUAACAUCUGUUUUCUUUGCAGUUUGCCAUAAACUAGUAAACAGCAGAACAGAUAGUGUGAGAGAAAAGAGUCAAUGGUCAAAUUAAAUCACAGGCUCUAACCUUUCUCUCCUAAUCACACAAUUUAAUAACAGACUACAGUUAUGACUGAAUAUCCUCCUUUGAAUGGACACAGUAAAUUGUAGGUGAUCCUUCCUCCAAGUCCUGAUGUACCAAACAGGAAUGGAAACAACAGAGGUGACCAUUAUGCAGGCAGUGGUUAGGGUUAUAUAAAAACCUUCUGCCAACAAACAUGGAAUGACAACAUUUACACAAGGAUCUCAGCAUGGGUUUAAUGGCAUAAUUCAGAGUAUUUCGCACAAGAUUGACAUGAACCUGUUUGUACCUAUAUGACACAAAAUGCACCGUUUCAAUAAUUGUCUGUAUAUAAUAAUGUGAUUACCAUAGCAAACAAUAAGAUCACACUCUAUAAGUACUAGAUAUUGUACCAUUAAAAAUGACAAUGUACAAAAGCACUUAUCUACUGUUGUUAAACAGAAUACAGCGUCUUAUUGUGCAAUGAAUUUAAUAUAAAUCACUUAGGGGUUCACUCCAGGGGGUUAGCCAACUGAUUUAAGAACAUGAGGUUGUAAAUACAGCUACCAGUCAUUUCAUUGCACAAUAAUUUCAAUGUUUGGUAUAACGUAAACACGAGUAAUUUUUGAAGUUAGAUACAUGAAUUCAUAACACAGUGCAUAUACCCAGUAGGAAAUGACACACUGAUCAAAGAUGUCUUCCUGUACUGUUCAGUAAGUUGCCUAUUUGUUUUAGUACCAUUGUUCAGAAUUUAUUUGGUUUCUACAUCAUCCCAACAAUAAUUUAUAAUGCCACUGGAAACUAAUCAACACCAUUGUGCUCAUUUUAAACAUCAUAGUAGACACAGAAAAAGGUAAAUUUGGCAGUGUCAGAUAUAUUAAUGGCAUUGCUUCCUUUGUUUACCGUUGUUAUUAUGUCGAGUCAAUAGGAUCAUAAUACGUAAACACUUGCAGUCGUAGGCUAUUCCAUAAGAACUAUUGAACUUUCCAGAAUACCUUUACUAUUAAACUUUCCACAAUACUUUUACUGUUAAGUCCUUUGGGUCUCUUGUAUUCCAAAUUAUCUUCUUGUUGUGCUCCAAUCAAAUUCAAAAACUCACUGCAUCUUAACUAUCACACAGCACCAGACUUGUAUGAAAUGGAACGGGUCCCAAAAUAAAGUUACAAAAGCACUUAAAAACCACAUGCAUGGCAUGACUGUCAUCACUUAUUCAUAAAAAAAGAAAACGCCUCCAUAUUUGUUGGCUGAUGUAUUUCAAAAAGGCAAACAGCUUCAACACUAAACCAUUAGAGCCUAUACACACGUAAACAACAUCAAAUAUAGAGCAAUCCCAAAUCGAUCACAGCGACACAACACCAAUAACUAUACCUUCCAAUAACUUACACAUAUAUAUAAUUUUGUUGAUGCCUAUGCUAUUUACUGUUGAGCAUUUUGCAUAAGUGCUAUAAUACAGGAGUGAGUCAUACACACGAUGGGAAAAAGGUUUCCUGUAGGAUCUUCUGCGGACCUACACUAUGAGUCCACGUUUUGGCUUGAUGCAGCGUCCUGUAAAGUCCCAUUUCCGGCAGGGUUUUACGCAGUCUUAUAUGGCCAUGGCGCUCGUUAUCAUGCAUGUUGACGUUGAUUGGUUCAGCAUGUGCUUAUAGAGAACAUAUAAGGGGGGGGGCUCAGGAAGGCCAACGAUGGAGGGCUAGAAAACGGAGGGAGACCGAUGUCACACAAGCAGGGCGGCUAGGAGCGAUCAAGCUUGGGAUUGGACAAUCACGCAAGUAUUUCUGUCAUGUAUUUACAAGACCCUCUGGGGGAGGGUGGGGGAUAAGGUUUGAGGGCUGCAGGGUCCUCCAUCCUCUCUCUCGCUCUCUCCGGUGGUCCGCUCGGCAUAACCGGGGGGGCUUCAUGUGGAACUGUUACUGCUGGUGGUGGACGCCUGCAGAGAAAGACGACACCAGAAGGGAAAUGGUUAUACUGCAGUAUCUAUUAGUAAAUGCCUCUUGUAGCCGUGCCCUGCUGCUCCAUGUGUAUGUGGGCGAUGGGGGAGGAACUGUGUGAGCGUGCGUGCGUGCGUGGUUGCUGAAUGAGUGUGUUUGGCUCUGCGAUUCCUCUAUGCGCAGCCCAAGGGUCACAAAUCACAGCUGCCAAUGGGCAACCCUGAUUGAACUCGCAGAGGUGUUUUAAGAACACAGCAUGCCAUUACUGUCCAGCCACAAUCCACACGCUGACUAGUCACAGACAUACUUAAAUACCUUGGUUGGAAUUGUAUCAUAUGCAUUGGGUGUUUCAUGCUUUGAGUGUUUUAUUGCAGUGUAUAGUUAUUCACCUAAUACAGCACUUUAUACAAAUCACAGCAGGCAUGGUUUGUUAGAAAGGAAACUUGUGUGUCAGGGAGCUUUUAUUUUAGCACAAGUUAGAUUGAGUAUCAAAGGAAUAAGUCAGUAGGGCCCGGGAAAGGUUCAACCUACCUCCAGCUGCAGAGCCGAUGUCCUUCACUUAGGAUACUUUAGAGACAAAAAAAGAACAAAGCAAUUUACUGGGCAGUUUAUUUUAAGUCAUAAAGGGGACUCUCUGAUUGGUUAAAUGGCAGGCUAUAUGGUGUACUAUGGACCUCACAUGACAGGUUUGGACUAUAGCUUGUGGAGACUAUUCUAUGGAACAAGAUCAAACUUAGUUAGUCUUACUCUCAAUGGUUUAUAUUUUGGAAACCCUCUCCUGUACAUGUCAUGCUGGACCGGGCGUCCCCCGUGCGUUUAAACCAAACAUAGGCUAGUUGAACUCCACACUAGCGACCUGCUAUUAUGUAGCAGGUUGGACAUUGCAAAUCAUUCUGCAAAGGCAAGACAGUUAGUAUUACGUUAGAUAAAAGCAUUUUUGCCAGAAAAAGAAAACAAUGUUCUUCUAUACUUACCCUCCUAACCACCUUUGAUAGAAAAAAAAAAAGCAAAGUUAGAAGACAGGUGAGAAAAUAUGAUGUUCUACCAUUCACCUUGAAAGACCUUGACAAUUUCCCAAGUACCCUGAUUUAUAAGAGGAAACAGCUAGCAUCCUGUUAGUACACAGACACUGUUCCAGGCUGCAGGCCUGCUCUCUCCCUCACAGCUGAGCGAUGGGGAGAGAGGAGGGGAGAGGGCCUCUGCAGUGUUCGCUGCAGUGUGCCAGAAGAGGAAUUAGUUCCCUAUAGCAAAGCACAAUCCCUGCCUCUCCGCUCUAUGGUCAGCAAAGACCGAGCAAUGCUUUCAUGUACCGUCACCGGUUUGCUUCAAGACAAGAACGUUUACCAACAAUGUAGGUUUCAGAUCGAUUACAAAAAAGCAGACAAGAUAAUUAUCCGCAGGUCAUUCAUUUGCUCGACAAUUUCCGCAUCAUAUGAAGUGAAAUAUAAUAAUUACUGGGAACAGGACAGAGGCCAAAUGUAUGAGCACCAAAUAAGCACGUUUUCAGAGUGAAAACACGUUUUCUCUGUAUACACCUGGCAUACUGGAGGAGUAGAAAAUAAGUCAUAGGCAUAAACUACACUGCAGGGAUGGACUGGCUGAAAAUAAUAAGCUAGAUAGAAAGAAAGUUAUUGUUUAACCAAACCACAAAAUGCUGCCAAUUACUAAUUUUCCUUAAUUAUGAGGUUGCAAGGCCGCGGUGUUUUAUUCAGAUGCUUCAAAGCCAUAAAACAGAGAAGAACCACGGUCAACAACCAUGAGGUAAAUGGAAGGUAUGAGUGAUGGAUAAAGAUAAUACCAUCAUUAAUUCAAGUUAUAUAACCCCCUCACAUUGUUGUAACCUAGUAGCUCUCACCUCAUAACUGUAGUAAUAUGAUGUCGGAACUGAAUUGCAAGGGAUUUGGAUUCAAUCAUAUGAGUCUUAUAAAUCAUGUUAGUCUAAGGGUUCAGACAAAGGACAGGCCUAGUCAAAUGUUAAGCAUAACUGUAUUUGUAUUUGAUGAGACACAUUAUAGCUCACAUCACUUCAUAUCUUAUUUAUAUAGUGGUUCUCUUAAGGUGGGAGCAGAAUAGAGAGUUAGUCUCUGUGAGGCCAGGGCUGACAUAGGGCUGAACGUGUACACGACGCUACCCUGCACUCACAUGACAGGCGAGUGAGAGAGCAGUAGAGGAAGGAAACCACUUGCUAAGCUACCCUUGGUUAGUUGAUGUUGACAUCAAAAAUAUGAAUACCAGCCGGCAGGGAUCUCAGGGAGAUAGCGGAGUUCAUAGUGAAGACAUGAUGCCCCUCAACGCGGUGACCAUGGCUGGGUUUAAGGCUUUCAGAAAGAUACUGGAUAAAUGGAACAGCACGCCAUCCGGCACAUAUUCUAGUCAAGCGGUCAAAGCUUAAAUAGGCUGGUGCUUUUUUUACAGGUUUAUUACGACUUUAUAUUUCUGCACAAAUCACACUGUUUGUGUGAGUUGUUACUGUUACUGACUGGAGAUCAGUAACAUCAAAAUAUGUUAUGGUUCAAAGCGCUAGAAUAUGUUACAAUUUCCCAAAUCAACACACAAAUCGUUCGCCGCAGUCCUCACCUGCAGCGUGGAGGGUGCUGAGCCGCUCGUCUCUGUGAGGCCAGUGCUCCGUGGUAAACUGGACACUAUGUACCUGGAGCCCUUUGGCGCUGGCUGUCUAACCACCAGCUUCCCUUUCCUGGUCUCCGCUAGAAACAUGCUGUACCAGUAGGCAUCGUUG